rnacentral:rRNA from 1 species
CCUACGGGAGGCAGCAGUGAGGAAUAUUGGUCAAUGGACGAGAGUCUGAACCAGCCAAGUAGCGUGAAGGAUGACUGCCCUAUGGGUUGUAAACUUCUUUUAUAUGGGAAUAAAAUGUUCCACGUGUGGGAUUUUGUAUGUACCAUAUGAAUAAGGUUCGGCUAACUCCGUUCCAGCAGCCGCGGUAAUACGGAGGAUCCGAGCGUUAUCCGGAUUUAUUGGGUUUAAAGGGAGCGUAGGUGGAUGGUUAAGUCAGUUGUGAAAGUUUGGGGCUCAACCGUAAAAUUGCAGUUGAAACUGGCAGGCUUGAGUACAGUAGAGGUGGGCGGAAUUCGAGGUGUAGCGGUGAAAUGCGUAGAUAGCACGAAGAACUCCGAUUGCGAAGGCAGCUCACUGGACUGCAACUGACACUGAGGCUCGAAAGUGUGGGUAUCAAACAGGAUUAGAUACCCGGGUAGUC